GAUUAACGCUAGCGGCAGGCCUAAUACAAGCAAGUCGAACGGGAUUGGUUGUAGCAAUACGACCAUGAGAGUGGCGCACGGGUGCGUAACACGUAUGCAACCUACCUAUAACUGGGGGAUAGCCUCCCGAAAGGGAGAUUAACACCGCAUAACAUGAUGAAGUGGCAUCACUUUAUCAUUAAAUCUACGGAGGUUAUAGAUGGGCAUGCGUCCGAUUAGCUAGUUGGUGAGGUAACGGCUCACCAAGGCUCCGAUCGGUAGGGGGUCUGAGAGGAUGAUCCCCCACACUGGUACUGAGACACGGACCAGACUCCCUACGGGAGGCAGCAGUAAGGAAUAUUGGACAAUGGGCGCAAGCCUGAUCCAGCCAUGCCGCGUGAAGGAUGAAGGCCCUAUGGGUCGUAACCUUCUUUAUACGGGGAAAAAAUCCCCCCUCGAUGCGUCGGGGGCUUGAUGGUACUGUAAGAAUAAGGGUCGGCUAACUCCGUGCCAGCAGCCGCGGUAAUACGAAGACCCAAGCGUUAUCCGGAUUUAUUGGGUUUAAAGGGUGCGUAGGCGGAUUAGUAAGUCAGUGGUGAAAAGCCCCAUCGCUUAACGGUGGAAUUGCCAUUGAUACUGCUAGUCUUGAGUAUGGUUGAGGUGGGCGGAAUGUGUCAUGUAGCGGUGAAA
rnacentral:rRNA from 1 species